rnacentral:rRNA from 1 species
UACGUAGGGUGCGAGCGUUGUCCGGAAUUAUUGGGCGUAAAGAGCUCGUAGGCGGUGUGUCGCGUCGGUCGUGAAAACUUGGGGCUUAACCCUGAGCUUGCGGUCGAUACGGGCAUCACUGGAGUUCGGCAGGGGAGACUGGAAUUCCUGGUGUAGCGGUGAAAUGCGUAGAGAUGGGGGAGACACUCGUGGCGAAGGCGGCCAGCUAGACCAGUUCUGACACUGAGGCGCGACAG